rnacentral:sRNA from 1 species
CUCAAGUGUGCCCACUGCCUUGCCCCCCGGCCAUCAGAUCCCUUUGCUCGCUUCUGUCAAGAAUGUGGCUCUCCUGUCCCACCCAUAUUUGGCUGUCGUCUCCCACCCCCAGAAGGAGCUCAGAUGGGCUUGUGUGCAGAAUGCAGAAGCUUGGUACCCAUGAACACUCCCAUCUGCGUGGUGUGUGAGGCCCCUCUUGCUCUACAGCUGCAGCCACAGGCAAGCCUCCACUUGAAGGAGAAGGUAAUUUGCCGGGCCUGUGGUACAGGAAAUCCUGCUCACCUGAGAUACUGUGUCACCUGUGAGGGGGCCCUGCCUUCAUCACAAGAGCCCCGAUGUGCCUGGCAGUCCCUGAAUAUUCCUUUGCCCAGAUCUGAUGUUGGGACUAAGAGGGACAUAGGAACACAGACUGUUGGCCUCUUCUACCCAUCUGGCAAGCUGCUAGCAAAAAAGGAACAGGAAAU